AUUGAACGCUGGCGGCAGGCCUAACACAUGCAAGUCGAACGAGCGGCGGACGGGUGAGUAAUGUAUGGGGACUGCCCGAUAGAGGGGGAUAACUACUGGAAACGGUGGCUAAUACCGCAUACUAUCGGAUAACCCAUAUGGGAUUAUCUAGUUGGUGGGGUAAAGGCUCACCUAGGCGACGAUCUCUAGCUGGUUUGAGAGGAUGAUCAGCAACACUGGGACUGAGACACGGACCAGACUCCUACGGAGGCAGCAGUGGGGAAUAGUGAACAAUGGGGGAAAGCCUGAUGCAGCCAUGCCGCGUGUAUGAAGAAGGCCUUAGGGUUGUAAAGUACUUUCAGCGGGGAGGCGUUACCCGCAGAAGAAGCACCGGCUAACUCCGUGCCAGCAGCCGCGGUAAUUC
rnacentral:rRNA from 1 species